UCGACUAGGCUGCCCUCUGA
rnacentral:piRNA from 1 species